UCCCUUUUCAUAUCGAUGUCUACUUACAACAUCUGUGAAGGCUCUGUAACCUGAAUUUGACAGGGGAAAGUGAACAGACUGCUUUUGGAGUGUUUCCAUUAAGUCCACAUAACAGACUGUUAACAAAAAUCUUAAAUAGCUAUUCUAAUCAUCAACAGCAAUCUUACACAAAUUAAAUUAGACCCAAAGGGCCCGAUUAACUUUAAAAUGCCUUACAGGCAUGUAACAUAAAUUUAACUUUUUUUUUUUUCCUUUGGAGAAGAAAUAGGAUUUUUCAGUGUGAGUCAGAUAUACAGUUAAAAAAAAAAAAAAAAAAAAAGCCAGCAUGCAUGUUAGACUCAUAAUAACGUGGAGACAGGAUUUCAUUUUCUUUAUCAGGAAACCACACUUAUGUGCAUAGAAAUUCAGUUAGGCCGCAACCAAGCUCCCUGUUUACAUGCAAAGUAGAUGCAUCGAAUGAGGUCUUAUUGCUGAAGAAAAGAGGCAUGUAUCAAUUGGCCUUAACGUUAAAAUGAUGCCAUGAGCAGAGGUAAAGCUGAGCUAGAAUUUCUGCGGUUCGUCAACCCCACCUACCAAGAAAUAGGCUGAAUUCAUGAUUUAAAGCAUAAUUAGACCAUGAAUCAAGGAAAACCCAUUAAAAAAGAUAUCUUCCCUUCUCUGCUUUGGCUAAAUCCCCAGGGGUCUGUCCAAAUUCAUUUCUUGAAUUUUCACUUAUUCCAAAUCCCAGCCAGCAGGUUCACCAUCUAUAUAUUUAAUAGCCUCCAUUCCUCACACACAUUGGAUACCUUCUCUUAGGCAACUUCCUUCCAGCUGCAUGAAACAUGUGAUUUCUGCCCAAAUCAGUAGCAGCAAAUGAGAAACUUCGUAUUAAAGACCAUGAACUGUCAGAAUUACCAAAGCUACAUUUUGGACAGCCUAUUGGUUUGAGGAAACCGCGUCCUUUCAACUCUUGGAAAACUAUCGCAGACAACCUCCUUGGCAGGCAACACCCCCUGUGUUCUGGUGCCCUCAAGAUAAAACCCAGACUGGAGAAGUGACUUGACCUGACUUGAGUCCGGAAACACUGAGGAGGCACAGAGAGCACUUUGCACAGUAUGGAUUUCUAACGCUCCUCUACAAAUGCAUAUUGAUGGGUGAGUAGAAAUAACCUGGAGUACAGAUGAAACCGCACCUUACCCCGCAUCACGGGUUCCCCAGAGCCCUGGUCACCACUAGUCUGUUGGUGUAUGACAGCUUGUCAUUAAUUAGUACAGGCUCUUAUAAGGGCUGAGGACCAAGUUUCUUGUUCUCUUCCUCGGUGUUCUUCCUGCCUUGCUGUAGAUUCUGAGAUCUGUUGAGAUCUUCAUACCUGGAGAGUUCACAGACCAAAUCUCAAAUUUCAAAGGACACCUAUGACAUUGAUAAUCCUUUCUAGUUCCAAGUAGGCUAGGAUCUCGGCUAUUUCAGCAAAGCUCUUGUUCUCCAAAUCCCCAGGCAAUCUUGAAUGUCUUGCAGAGAUAUGUAGUUAUUUCUAAUGUCUAAUCUAAAUCUCUUUGGCUGCAACUCAAGUCUGUUGCCUUUAUCCCAACCCUAAGUGGAAACAGGGACCAGGACUUUCUUUGCUGAAAAGCAUGUCCACAUCAUAUAACUAAUUUCUUUAAAUGUUAUUUACCAGCCUGUCUUCUUUACAAAUUAAGGAUGUGGUAUAGUGUUUUAUAUCUGGUCUCAGUUUUGUUUUUUUUUUUAAUUUUU